CUGAGUUUUCGCUGAUAUAAUAGUGUGCAGUUACUAUUCAAAGAAUGAACAAUUAUAUUCAUACUUGCUCGGGAAAUCGGGGGAUCGCCAAACCCCUAGCAAUACAUUAAACCAAGGGUGAAUAGUAAAUAAAACUACUUAUUUAUCAACCCUGAUUUGAUGUAUU